GGACCGGGCGGAUCGCCUCGACAGUCCGUCGC
rnacentral:sRNA from 1 species